GCUGUUUGAAUAUUGUGGGGAACCUUCCUCAAAGGCUAAAUAUAAUACAUGAGUUACAGAGAAAAGUACCGUGAGGGAAAGCUUUGAAAUAGUAGUUUUAUAAGCAGCUCAAGCAAUAAGAAAGCGAGAGCGUACCUUUUGCAUAAUGGGUCACCAAGUUAAUUUUAGAUGCGAGCGAAUUUAUUUAUGUUUUUACUGAUUAAACAAUAUAAUGAAUCAUAAUUAUUUUUGUAACGAGUAUUAGUAUUAAAUCUUAAUUUAAUAUUAGUAUAAGUUUUCAGUAUGGCGGCUACAUAGCAUAAUCUAUGCAGCCAGCCAAUAAUUGGAUUUCCAAUCCAAUUUCGGUAAUAAAUAGAUGUGCAUAGUUAAACCGAUCAUUAAAAUAAUGAAUAGUGUCUAAAGUUAGACCCGAAGCCUGGUGAUCUUACUAUAGUCAGGACUAUAAAGGUCCGAACGGGUUAUCGUUGCAAAGAUAUCCGAAGAACUAUGGUAAGCGAGUGAAAGACAACACUGACUAGGAUAGCUGGUUUUCUGCGAAACCUAUAAUAGUAGGCAAUUUAAGUAACAUCUUAGUAGGUACAGAACUUAAUCUCAGACAAGAUGUAGAUUUUCAUACCUAUGUUUAGGUAUGAAAUGCAUUUUUUUUUGUAUACAUCGGGGGAUCGUGAAGAUUUUAUCGGUGAGUAUGUAGACUCGGAAUGACAAAGAUGAAUCUUGAAUAAUCAGACAUAGAAUGAUAAGGUUGUAUGUCAAAAGGGAAACAGCCCAGAACAAGAGUUAAGGUUCCAAAAUUAUUAUUAAGUGAAAUAAAGAAAGUUUUUAUAUAAGUCGACAAGAAGAUGGGCUUGGAAGCAGCCAUAAUUUAAAGAUCUCGUAACAGAGCACUUGUUAAAUCUUAAAAGCAUCGAAAAUUUAACGGAUCUAAAUAAUAUACCGAAACCUUGUCCAUAUGUAACAUUAGUAAUAAUAUGCUAUUAAUGUUAUUUGAUGGGGUAGCAGAACGUUGAGUGAAUCUUAGAUUUUUUUUUUAUAACUAAAUAUAGAUGAUAACUCAAGUGAGAAUGGUGACAUGAGUAACAAAAAAGAGUUUAAGGUACCUAAAAGGUAUCUUAGAGUCUCGCCUAAAGCUUAUGGCUACGUCAAGUAACGGCCUCUAAGUUUAUAAUCUGAAGAUUAUGACGAUGAGAAAAUAACGCGCAGAAGUGCGCUGCUUUGAUACUUAUGGUACCAACAUUUAAAAGUGAAAAUUGUGCAGGAAGGAUCAGUAUCCUUUCAUUCUUAUGUGGGGGAGUGGACAAAACUGAACAGAGUGUAUCUGAACACAGAUGAGUCCACACCCCCCCCCAUGUAAUGAAUGAAUGACAAACCGUACCUAGAAUCUGAAACAAGUAAGCUAGUAGAGAAUACGAAGGCGUGAAUGAGAUAACAAUCAUAAAGGAACUCGGCAAACUAACUACCGUAACUUAGGGAUAAGGAGAGCUCAUUAGUCUCGAUUAAUACGAGUAAAAAGGAAGAAGCAUGGAAUAUUGUUGUACGACUGUUUAAUUAAAACAAAGCACUUUGCAAAAAGACGAUAAGUCUAAGUAUUGAGUGUGAUUUCUGCCCGAUGCCGGCUGGUUAACGAAUUUUCUAAAUUGAAAAAAAAUUUGGUUUCAGAGGAACCCCCGGUUAAUGGCGGCCUUAGCGUGAGGGUCCUAAGGUAGCGAAAUGCCUUGGCCGUUAAAUGCGGUCUUGCAUGAAUGAUGUAACGAUACAACAGCUGUCUCUAUGAUUGACUCAGUGAAAUUGGAAUAACUGUGCAGAUACAGUUUACCUCUAGUUAGACGAGAAGACCCUAUGCAGCUUUACUGUUACUAAUUAUUGAAUACGAUUCUGAAAAUUUCCAGUGUAAAAGGUAAUCGAUAAGAUAUAAUUGAAACACCUUUAUUUUUCUAUCGUAUUAUUAAACCUUAAAUUAAGGAACAAUUGUUAGAAGACAGUUUAUGCGGGGCACAGGCCCCAUAAAGAGUAA
rnacentral:rRNA from 2 species